AUGCCGGAUGCUCCAGUUGACCGCAUGGUCCUCUGGGAAAGCUUCAGCGGUAUGGGAUGGGGUCGCGUCCUAUCAGCUUGAUGGCGGGGUAACGGCCCACCAUGGCUUCGACGGGUAGCCGGCCUGAGAGGGCGACCGGCCACAUUGGGACUGAGAUACGGCCCAGACUCCUACGGGAGGCAGCAGUGGGGAAUAUUGCACAAUGGGCGCAAGCCUGAUGCAGCGACGCCGCGUGCGGGAUGACGGCCUUCGGGUUGUAAACCGCUUUUGACUGGGAGCAAGCCCUUCGGGGUGAGUGUACCUUUCGAAUAAGCACCGGCUAACUACGUGCCAGCAGCCGCGGUAAUACGUAGGGUGCAAGCGUUAUCCGGAAUUAUUGGGCGUAAAGGGCUCGUAGGCGGUUCGUCGCGUCCGGUGUGAAAGUCCAUCGCUUAACGGUGGAUCCGCGCCGGGUACGGGCGGGCUUGAGUGCGGUAGGGGAGACUGGAAUUCCCGGUGUAACGGUGGAAUGUGUAGAUAUCGAAAAA
rnacentral:rRNA from 1 species